UCCCUGAUGGUUCAGUGGUUAGGACACUGCAUUUUCAUUGUGGGGGCCCAGGUUCAAUCCCUGAUCAGGGAA
rnacentral:tRNA from 1 species